GACAGAGGGGGCAAGCGUUGCUCGGAAUCACUGGGCGUAAAGGGCGCGUAGGCGGGAUGGCAAGUCGGUCGUGAAAUCCUUCGGCCCAACCGAAGAACGUCGGCCGAUACUGCCGUUCUUGAGGGAUGCAGAGGAGGCUGGAAUUCCCGGUGUAGCGGUGAAAUGUGUAGAGAUCGGGAGGAACACCGGUGGCGAAGGCGGGUCGCUGGGCAUUUCCUGACGCUGAGGGACGAAGGCUAGGGGAGCAAACGGG
rnacentral:rRNA from 1 species